UGAGUAGUGUAGCGGUGAAAUGCAUAGAUAUUACUCAGAACACCGAUUGCGAAGGCAGGUUACCAAGUUAUAACUGACGCUGAGGGACGAAAGCGUGGGGAGCGAACAGGAUUAGAUACCCUGGUAGUCCACGCCGUAAACGAUGCUAACUCGUUUUUGGGCUUUAGGGUUCAGAGACUAAGCGAAAGUGAUAAGUUAGCCACCUGGGGAGUACGACCGCAAGGUUGAAACUCAAAGGAAUUGACGGGGGCCCGCACAAGCGGUGGAUCAUGUGGUUUAAUUCGAUGAUACGCGAGGAACCUUACCAAGGCUUAAAUGGGAAUUGACAGCUGUAGAAAUACGGUUUUCUUCGGACAAUUUUCAAGGUGCUGCAUGGUUGUCGUCAGCUCGUGCCGUGAGGUGUUAGGUUAAGUCCUGCAACGAGCGCAACCCCUGUCACUAGUUGCCAUCAUUAUUUUGGGGACUCUAGUGAGACUGCCUACGCAAGUAGAGAGGAGGGUGGGGAUGACGUCAAAUCAUCACGGCCCUUACGCCUUGGGCCACACACGUGAUACAAUGGCCGGUACAGAGGGCAGCUACACUGCGAAAGUGAUGCAAAAUCUCGAA
rnacentral:rRNA from 1 species